CGGUUUUCAUUGGUCCAUGGGAUGUUAAAGGCAGCCAGAUCUUCGGAAGGAAGACAGGAAAACCAGUGCAGUGCUGCAGUGUUGUGAUUGUGGUUCGUCCGUACUCCUCAGCCAUAUUUGUGGGAUUUUUCCAAAUCUUCUGCUCGUUGUUGUGGAAAGAUUUCAAGUCUUGGAUCAAGAGUCAGACAAUAUCUCCCCAAAGCUUUUGUGUCGUGUCAAGGUCCAGCGGGACUCACCUGUGGGUUCCUGACUUCCAGCAGCCCUGGAGUGAGAUAAUCAUACCGAAAUACAAGGUCUAGAGAAGAUUUUGACCAAGUCUAGAAGAUAACAGGAUACGGAAAGGGGAGGG